rnacentral:rRNA from 1 species
AACGAACGCUGGCGGCAUGCCUAACACAUGCAAGUCGAACGAGACCUUCGGGUCUAGUGGCGCACGGGUGCGUAACGCGUGGGAACCUGCCCUUAGGUUCGGAAUAACUCACCGAAAGGGGUGCUAAUACCGGAUAAUGUCUUCGGACCAAAGAUUUAUCGCCUUUGGAUGGGCCCGCGUUGGAUUAGCUAGUUGGUAGGGUAAAAGCCUACCAAGGCGACGAUCCAUAGCUGGUCGGAGAGGAUGAUCAGCCACACUGGGACUGAGACACGGCCCACACUCCUACGGGAGGCAGCAGUGGGGAAUAUUGGACAAUGGGCGAAAGCCUGAUCCAGCAAUGCCGCGUGAGUGAUGAAGGCCUUAGGGUUGUAAAGCUCUUUUACCCGGGAUGAUAAUGACAGUACCGGGAGAAUAAGCUCCGGCUAACUCCGUG